AUUGAACGCUGGCGGCAGGCCUAACACAUGCAAGUCGAGCGGCAGCGGGAAAGUAGCUUGCUAAUUUUGCCGGCGAGCGGCGGACGGGUGAGUAAUGCCUGGGAAAUUGCCCAGUCGAGGGGGAUAACAGUUGGAAACGACUGCUAAUACCGCAUACGCCCUACGGGGGACAGCAGGGGACCUUCGGGCCUCGCGCGAUUGGAUAUGCCCAGGCGGGAGUAGCUAGUUGGUGAGGUAAUGGCUCACCAAGGCGACGAUCCCUAGCUGGUCUGAGAGGAUGAUCAGCCACACUGGAACUGAGACACGGUCCAGACUCCUACGGGAGGCAGCAGUGGGGAAUAUUGCACAAGGGGGGAAACCCUGAUGCAGCCAUGCCGCGUGUGUGAAGAAGGCCUCCGGGUUGUAAAGCACUUUCAGCGAGGAGGAAAGGUCAGUAGCUAAUACCUGCUGGCUGUGACGUUACUCGCAGAAGAAGCACCGGCUAACUCCGUGCCAGCCGCCGCAGUAAUAC
rnacentral:rRNA from 1 species